AAGGGCCGAGGUCAGGCAGAACGCCACGUCCUGUGGCAUGCCUGACACUAGCUCGUCCUGAGCG
rfam:Sporolactobacillus laevolacticus DSM 442 Contig020, whole genome shotgun sequence.